rnacentral:lncRNA from 1 species
CGGAUCCAAAAGAGUACUCGCCUUCCAAGUGAGAAAACCACUGUUGUAUGAUACGGUCCUACGCAUCACAUGAACCGUGCCGUGCGCUACUUUUGUUCUGUCGUAACAUCAGCGACCAGGUGGCCGCAGGGAACCAUGCCGAAGAGGGAGUUCGAUACGCGACGCCAAAAGGCUUGUGGUGAUAAGUAAGGCACGAAUUCCGUCAUCUUCUCACAUUUGUCUGUAGACUCGAGAGUUACACUUCUUGUCUUCUUUGCUCAUUUGACAUUGGCUUGAUCCGCAGAGAACUGAAAGGUAAACAAAACUCCUCAGAUAUCUUCAAAAGAAACAAAAAAGUAUACGGAUUAAGAGAAAUAUUGAACUUAGAUGAAGCAUCGAAACCAUCACCAGUCGAUUGCAUUCCCAUGUGUUGAUGAAGAAUCGUACCAGCAUCUGCACCACCACCAAACGAACUACUUGCGCCUGUGUCAUGUAUAUUCCAAAUGAGGACCGACCUGAUCCCACAAUAAAACAUACCGAUGUGUUUAGAAAUGAUAACAUAUGAUCAGACGCAUGAUUUUUGAAGUUGUGUGUUGGAAACAGAAAUUUGCAUGAGAUAAACUAGGAGUAAAAAUAUGCAACAGCAGCAAAACGUCAUAAGAUGAUAGUGUCAACUCUUUCGAGGAAGUUUAUUAAGCUACCAACUUGGCUUGCAAAUCAAACACAAACCAACCAUAUUUUUUAGGAAAAUAGAUCAUGAUCAACCUUUUGCUUUUGGAAUAAUGCACUAUCUAUCCUCAAUAAAGGGCUGUAAUACCACCACAGGAAACAGAGGAUAUACUUCAAUCACAAAUCUCUUGAUGGCUAUGGGCCAAGAGCUGUACCCAACACAGGUAAUGAGAAAAUGGAAUUGGGUAGAAACUAGGAUGCUUAGAUCAAAAGCAUCAUAUCAGGUUUAAUUAUAAGAAAAUUGCUGCAAGCUUGUCCAUUACUAAACUAGACUCAUAUCUCAACAGAUGAGUGUCAAUCUACCUGGCAUCACGCAUUUCCUUUCAUUAACCAACCAGCACGGCAAAUCUCCUGGCAUCAGCAUCAGCCAUUUCCUUUCAUUAACCAAUCAGUAUGGCAAGUCUCAUGGCAUCAGCACCAUGCCAUAUGCCUAAUCGGUUCAGUUUAGUGUUCAGCUUCUGUAAUAUAUUCUAACAUGCAAAUAUUGUAUUAAAUUCAUGAUACCAAGCAAACAAUGUUAUAUACUAAGCAACCGUAUUUUCUAGCAAGUCCAAAGGUCAUGUUUCUUUUCAAUAAUUAUCAAGCUAGCCAGAAAAGCAGUGCAAAAUACGAAAAGCGAAAGUAUACCAACAUGUAUAGACAUAGAAUCAGAGAAGACCAGAUAAUAAAUAAAAAUUAUAUAUCUUUAUUGGAAAAAUUGGAAAGAAAUGGAAACUACCUCAAACUGUUCCAGGUUAGUGUAUGCUCUGCUGUACAGCUUGUUCGGCACGGUUCCGAAAUCCAUC